CGGGGUGAGUAACGCGUGGAUAACCUGCCUUGCACUGGGGGAUAACACUUAGAAAUAGGUGCUAAUACCGCAUAAGCGCACAGCUUCGCAUGAAGCAGUGUGAAAAACUCCGGUGGUAUACGAUGGAUCCGCGUCUGAUUAGCUGGUUGGCGGGGUAAAGGCCCACCAAGGCGACGAUCAGUAGCCGGCCUGAGAGGGUGAACGGCCACAUUGGGACUGAGACACGGCCCAAACUCCUACGGGAGGCAGCAG
rnacentral:rRNA from 1 species